UACGUAGGGGGGCAAGCGUUGUCCGGAAUCACUGGGCGUAAAGCGCGCGCAGGCGGUCUCUCACGUCCGGGGUGAAAGCCCAGAGCUCAACUCUGGGAUUGCCUUGGAUACGGGGAGACUUGAGGAUCGGAGAGGCAAGGGGAAUUCCACGUGUAGCGGUGAAAUGCGUAGAGAUGUGGAGGAACACCUGUGGCGAAGGCGCCUUGCUGGCCGAUUUCUGACGCUGAGGCGCGAAAGCGUGGGGAGCAAACAGG
rnacentral:rRNA from 1 species